CAAGAUUUAAAAUUUUUCCGCUCCCGGCCGGCCGGUGGGCCCAUAUCCUGCGUAGCCUCUAGGAAGCGCUAGACCCCUGCUUCCUCUUCCCUCACUAGCCUGUGAGCUCCUUGAGAGAGGGCUCUGUCUUAUUCAUGGAUGUGCUCUGAAGACCCACACAGGGGCCCCGGAACAGAAUAGCUGCAUUACAAUUGAGCCUCCUUUUGUAGCUUCCUGUGACUUCUGAUAACACUUGCCUUUCGGCAGCAUCUCUCCAAUCUCUGCCUCCAUCUUUGCCUGGCCUUUGCCUCUGGGUAUCUGUGUAUCUCAAAUCUCCCUCUUCUUUCUGUUAUCAUCCACCAGUCAUUGGAUUUAGCGCUGACCCUAAAUCCAAAAUGAUCUCAUCUCGAGAUCCUCCAC